AAAUGAAUUGACGGGGGCCCGCACAAGCAGUGGAGUAUGUGGUUUAAUUCGAAGCAACGCGAAGAACCUUACCAGGUCUUGACAUCCAACUAACGAACUAGAGAUAGAUUAGGUGCCCUUCGGGGAAAGUUGAGACAGGUGGUGCAUGGUUGUCGUCAGCUCGUGUCGUGAGAUGUUGGGUUAAGUCCCGCAACGAGCGCAACCCCUGCCAUUAGUUGCUACGCAAGAGCACUCUAAUGGGACCGCUACCGACAAGGUGGAGGAAGGUGGGGACGACGUCAAAUCAUCAUGCCCCUUAUGACCUGGGCUACACACGUACUACAAUGGCCGUUAACAGAGGGAAGCGAAGGAGCGAUCCGGAGCAAAACCCAAAAAACGGUCUCAGUUCAGAUUGCAGGCUGCAACUCGCCUGUAUGAAGUCGGAAUUGCUAGUAAUCGCGGAUCAGCAUGUCGCGGUGAAUACGUUCCCGGGCCUUGUACACACCGCCCGU
rnacentral:rRNA from 1 species